rnacentral:rRNA from 1 species
UAGGGAAUCUUCCGCAAUGGACGCAAGUCUGACGGAGCAACGCCGCGUGAGUUAAGAAGGAUUUCGGUUCUUAAAACUCUGUUGUUAGAGAAGAACAGCGCAUAGAGUAACUGUUAUGCGUGUGACGGUAUCUAACCAGAAAGCCACGGCUAACUACGUGCCAGCAGCCGCGGUAAUACGUAGGUGGCAAGCGUUGUCCGGAUUUAUUGGGCGUAAAGCGAGCGCAGGCGGUCAAUUAAGUCUGAUGUGAAAGCCCGCGGCUCAACCGGGGAGGGUGAUUGGAAACUGGUUGAAUUGAGUGCAGAAGAGGAGAGUGGAAUUCCAUGUGUAGCGGUGAAAUGCGUAGAUAUAUGGAGGAACACCAGUGGCGAAGGCGACUCUCUGGUCUGUAACUGACGCUGAGGCUAGAAAGCGUGGGUAGCAAACAGG